rnacentral:lncRNA from 1 species
AUAUACUUAGAAGCCAAAACCAUCAAAUAGCUUGAAUCACUUGAAACUGCCGUUUUUGAAAGUCAGUAACAGUCAAAUAUCCAUUUUCACCUUAAUUCAUCUUUAAGUCAGAAACGAGUAAUUUUGUCGUAACUUGUUUUAUUAGAAGACAUUCUUAAAAUGUUAUGCAAAUAAGAUUGAGAGUGGCAUCACUGUGAUUUAAUGCAAAAGUAGUGGAUUGCUUCUACACUUUUUCUGGUCAUCUACUAUGUCCUAAGCACACAUUACAAACUUCUAUUAAUGUAUUACUAGAUUCACAGUAAGGAUUAAUUAUGGUCAGAAUGUUUAUAUAAACUUCACCAGAUCAUUGGUAAGUAAAUGAUAGUGUUGGAUUUCAAAGUUCUUUUGCUUUUUGUUUAUUUGGGAUUUUAGCUUUGAUUAUUGCUGCUUUGGGGAGCUAAGCUAUUUCUGCAGCAGAAACAGCCAUUUCCUAGUGAAAAAUCAUAGAUUUGUGGAGCACAUGUCUGAACAAGACAGAAUCAGGUGAUGACUGAACAGCAGUCACCAAGAAAGACAUUGUCCUUUUUCUUAUGGAGCUUGUAUUCGAAUUGGGAGAUUGAGUUUAAAUUACUUGAAUUGAGAUAUAGAUUUAAAAAAAAAACACCAAAUACAAACUAGCUGCUCCACUAAAAUCAAGCUAUGUGCUACGAGACAUCGUACAGGUCAGUAUAAAGUACGUUGAUCCCAGGCCAGGAAGCAUGGCCCCAGACAUUUAAGUUAAGACCUGAGCAUUAGGCAUUAACAGGUAAGGGGAAUAAGAGGAUUUUAGGCAAAUAAAAUCACUUUUUUUUCCUAUUUUUGCCUUCUUCAAAAAAUAGCUCUAUCACACAGCAGAUGAGCUUGAAAGCAAAAGCAAGGGUGUUAAAGAACACACGAGUUCCACUCUGGCCCUGCCUCAUUCGUGGAUGUGGGUGUCAUCUCCAACAUCAACACCACCACAGUCAUCACACACAGGACCCCACACCCUCCUGAAUUUCUCCCUCUACUGUGCACACACUUUAUACGGAUGAACUGGGACGCCAGUACAUGUGAAGUAGGAAACUAGAUUAGGCUAUUCCGAAGCUCUGUUCUGUCCUCAUAAUCUGGCAUAUUGUGUUUCGGGUUCUUAUGCUGCCAUUAUUUGAAUAUGUCAUUUUAUCAGAAACAGGGCAUAGUGAAUAUAUGCGGUGGCAAAGGGCAGGAAACAAAGAGUCAAUUAAAUUGAUCUGGAUGCUUCUAGAUUCUAAAAGAAUGGGAGUUCCCAGUGUGGCUCAGCGGUAACAAACCCAACUACUAUCCAUGAGGCUGUGGAUUUGAUUCCUGGCCCUGCUCAGUGGGUUAAGGAUCUGGCAUUGCCGUGAGCUGUGGUGUAGAUCGCAGACACUUCUUGGAUCUGGCAUUGCUGUGGCUGUGGUGUAGGCCGGCAGCUGUAGCUCCAAUUCGAUCCCUAGCCUGGAAACUUGCAUUUGCCAUAGGUGCAGCCCUUAAAAAUUAAAAAAUAAAAAUAAAAUAAAAUUUAAUGCAAUUUCUUGAUCACCAAGGAGAUGGAAAGUUUGCUUUCAUAGAAGGAACAUUUUAAUUUAUUUGUUAUUAAAACAAAGGAUGUCAAAUAUUAAACUAUGUAGGCUAAUCAGAGAAAACAUUGAGAUUUGAGGGAGAAAAUAGUGGAAUAAAUCUGGUUUUUGGUUACCUUUCAAUCCUUUCUUUAUUCUGGUACUGAAUUCCUAAAGAGAGAAGAAUUCAUACUUCAGCUUCUAUGUAUUCCAUUAGCUUUGUUUAGGGAUCUUUUCCCUCUGAAUGUUCUAAAAAAUACCAUGCCCAAUACAAAUACAUUUCUAUGUUUUGAUAAUUAUGAAUAGAACUGCUAUAAACAUUCUCAUAUAGGUCUUUGUGGGGGUAUUUUACAUGGAUAAAUAUGUAGAAGAAAGACUCCUGGGUUGAAUGGUAAGUGUAUGCUUAACUUAUUCGGAAACUGCCAACUAUUUUUCCAAAGUGGCUAUAUCAUUCUUCAUUCCAGUUGGCAAUGUGUGAGUUUCAGUUGCUCAGAAUCUAGGCCAGCACAUGGUAGUGACAUCUAAAAAAUGUUUAGUCUUUCUAGUUGUUGUAUAAUGGUGUCUUAUUGUAGUUUUAAUUUGCAUUUCUCUAAUUCCUAACAGUGAGGAACAUCUUUGCGUGUGACUUUCCACCCAUUUCUCUGCUUAGGGGAAGUAUCUUAUUUUUAUUUUGUUCACUAAAAAAAUAAGUUCUUGGAGUUCCCGUCAUGGCUCAGUGGUUAACAAAUCUGACUAGGAACCAUGAGGUUGUGGGUUCGAUCCCUGGCCUUGCUCAGUGGGUUGGGGAUCCUGUGUUGUGGUGAGCUGUGGUGUAGGUUACAGACACAGCUUGGAUCCUGCAUUGCUGUAGCUAUGGAGUAGGCCGGAGGCUACAGCUCUGAUCAGACCCCUAGCCAGGGAACCUCCAUAUACUGUGAAAGCAGCCCUAGAAAAGGCAAAAAGACAAAAAAAAAAAAAAAAAAAAAAAAAGUUCUUUGUUUUGUAAGAGUUCUUUAUAAGUUAUGAAUGGAAGUGUUUUUACUAGAUAUGUAUCUUGUAAACAUUUUCUAUAAAUCCCAUGACUUGUCUUCUCAUUUACUUAGCCGUCUCUUUUUAAAGUAUGUAGAUUCUUUGAACUUGCCUAUGUAUACAUCAUGUGAUCUGCAAAUAAAAUACAGUUUUAUUUCUUUCUUUCUAUCCGAAUACCUUUCAUUUCUUUUUAUACUUUAUUGCAUUGGCUAGGACCUCUACUACAAUGCUGAAUUGGAGUAGUGAGGGCAGGCAGUCUCACCAUGUUUCAGUGUUAAUGGUAGUUUUGUCGCAGGUGCCCUUUAUUGAGUUAAGGAAGUUCCCUUCCAUUCCUAGUUUACUAAAAGUUUUUAUUAUGAACAGAUCCUGAAUUUUGUCAAAUGCCAUUUCUAUAGCUACCGAGACAAUUAAAUUAUUAAUGCAGUCCUUGUUGUUAGUUGUGGAAUAUUGAAUGAAUUGUAUUUCUAGGAGAAAUGCACUUUGACAUAAAUGUAUUAUCUUUUUUCUAUACCAUGAGAUUUGACUUACUGAAAUUUCGUUGUGGUUUGUGAAUAUAUUUUAUAUCAGCA